GGCAGAGGAGCGUCGUGUAAGCCGAUGAAGGUGUGUUGAGAAGCAUGCUGGAGGUAUCACGAGUGCGAAUGCUGACAUGAGUAACGAUAAAGGGAGUGAAAAACUCCCUCGGCCGGAAGACCAAGGGGUUCUGUUAGACGCUUAAUCGGAGCAGAGUGAGUCGGCCCCUAAGGCGAGGCCGAAAGGCGUAGUCGAUGGGAAACGGGUCAAUAUUCCCGUACCGGACAUGAUUGCGAUGGGGGGACGGAGAAGGCUAGGUGAGCCAGGCGUUGGUUGUCCUGGUGAAAGUGAGUAGGCUUGUGUCUUAGGUAAAUCCGAGACGCUUCAAGGCCGAGACACGAAACGAACGGACCACGGUCCGGAAGUCAUUGAUGCCACGCUUCCAGGAAAAGCCUCUAAGCUUCAAGAUCAUGUGCGACCGUACCCCAAACCGACACAGGUGGUCAGGGUGAGAAUCCCAAGGCGCUUGAGAGAACUCGGGUGAAGGAACUAGGCAAAAUGGUGCCGUAAACUUCGGGAGAAGGCACGCCGGCGUAGGGUAAGGGAACUUGCUUCCUCAGCCCGAACCGGUCGAAGAUACCAGGUGGCUGCAACUGUUUAGUAAAAACACAGCACUCUGCUAACGCGCAAGCGGACGUAUAGGGUGUGACGCCCUGCCCGGUGCCGGAAGGUUAAAUGAUGGUGUUAAGGAUUCGUCCGAAUCUCUUGAUUGAAGCCCCGGUAAACGGCGGCCGUAACUAUAACGGUCCUAAGGUAGCGAAAUUCCUUGUCGGGUAAGUUCCGACCUGCACGAAUGGCGUAAUGAUGGCCACGCUGUCUCCACCCGAGACUCAGUGAAAUUGAAAUCGGCGGAAGAUGCGGUGUACCCGCGGCUAGACGGAAAGACCCCGUGAACCUUUACUAUAGCUUCACACUGGACGCUGAUGUUGCCUGUGCAGGAUAGCUGGGAGCCUUUGAAACCCGGACGCCAGUUCGGGUGGAGCCAACCUUAAAAUACCAGCCUGGCAUCAUUGGCGUUCUCACUCAGGUCCGUGAUCCGGAUCGAGGACAGUGUGUGGUGGGUAGUUUGACUGGGGCGGUCUCCUCCCAAAGAGUAACGGAGGAGCACGAAGGUACCCUCAGCACGGUCGGACAUCGUGCAAUGAGUGCAAGAGCAUAAGGGUGCUUGACUGCGAGACAGACACGUCGAGCAGGUGCGAAAGCAGGUUCUAGUGAUCCGGUGGUUCUGUAUGGAAGGGCCAUCGCUCCAAACGGAUAAAAGGUACCCCCGGG
rnacentral:rRNA from 1 species